rnacentral:rRNA from 1 species
GUGGGGAAUAUUGGACAAUGGGCGAAAGCCUGAUCCAGCCAUGCCGCGUGUGUGAAGAAGGUCUUCGGAUUGUAAAGCACUUUAAGUUGGGAGGAAGGGCAGUAAGUUAAUACCUUGCUGUUUUGACGUUACCGACAGAAUAAGCACCGGCUAACUUCGUGCCAGCAGCCGCGGUAAUACGAAGGGUGCAAGCGUUAAUCGGCAUUACUGGGCGUAAAGCGCGCGUAGGUGGUUUUGUAAGUUGGAGGUGAAAUCCCCGGGCUCAACCUGGAAACUGCCUCCAAAACUGCAUGACUAGAGUACGGUAGAGGGUAGUGGAAUUUCCUGUGUAGCGGUGAAAUGCGUAGAUAUAGGAAGGAACACCAGUGGCGAAGGCGACUACCUGGACUGAUACUGACACUGAGGUGCGAAAGCGUGGGGAGCAAACAGGAUUAGAUACCCGGGUAGUCC